GACGAACCGUGCGAACGUUGUUCGGAAUCACUGGGCUUAAAGGGCGCGUAGGCGGCCCGCCAAGUCAGGGGUGAAAGCCCCCAGCUUAACUGGGGAAGGGCCUCUGAUACUGGCGGGCUCGAGGGGGAUAGGGGCGGACGGAACUUCCGGUGGAGCGGUGAAAUGCGUUGAUAUCGGAAGGAACGCCGGUGGCGAAAGCGGUCCGCUGGGUCCCCUCUGACGCUGAGGCGCGAAAGCGUGGGGAGCGAACAGG
rnacentral:rRNA from 1 species